rnacentral:sRNA from 1 species
GGCAAAAUGCCCCAGAGCACAAUAAGGGAUGAUGGGAAUUUUACUAAGAAUUUUUCAUUUCCUUUAACUUUGUGUGUGUGUGUGUGUGUGUUCGGCUCAUGUGUGUGUGUGUGUGUGUGUGUGUGUGUGUGUGUGUGUGGAAGAAGGAGGAGCAUGCCUGAUGAUGAUAUUGCUACUGCCA